UGAAGACGGGGUUUUCGGAAAGAACUGCAAUAUGACUUGUGGUUUCUGUAAGAAUGGCGCAGUUUGUGAUAAAGUCAGUGGUAAUUGCACCAGAGGCUGUGACAGGGGACACCGGGGACAUCAAUGUAAAAGUGGUUGUGAUAAACAGACCUUCGGUAAUGAUUGUAUGAAUGUAUGCCAUUGCUAUGAAUGUAACGACGUGGACGGUUCAUGUGGAAUUUAUUCUUGCUACAGCGACUGGAAAGGCGAAUCAUGCUCGGAAUCGAUACACACGAAUGAAUAACAAGCUGAAAGUUCGAAGACUGGCGCAGGAAAUACAGCAUUUGCGGUUGUGUCGACUUUGCUCGUUGUAUCAGUUAUUG